AAAUCUAUUAUACUUUGUUUAUAACUUUGGGCCCUGAAUUCUCUGCAAAGUUUAGCAUUUUCUACUGAGUGAUGGGAAUUCGUCAUGCAACAGGGAUGCCAGAAGAAAGGGAAGAAGACAGUGCUGGGAAAGCGGCAAGACUUUUGUAUGCGCAAAUGUGGAAGGAUUCACUGAUUCCUACAGUGGAAGAAUGGAUGAUACAAUUAAUGGAACUGGCAGAGAUGGUGAAACUGACUGCAUUGAUUAGAGAAAAUAACUUGUCUAGCUUUACUUCUACUUGGAAACUGCUUUUGGACUUUUUGCUUGUAACUGAAAAAAAUGAAGUUUUGAUUUUGGGAUUUGAUGAUUAGGUGGGUAUAGUUUAUAGAAACAAUGUUCACUAUAGUUAAAAUUAGAGUAAGUUGUUAAUGUACUUUUUAUUAGUAGAUGUGCUGGAGAAGGUUGGAAGUCACUCCUUUUUUUGUAUUUCUUAUUUUUUUUCUGCACUUUUUAGUUUAUCUUUUUUUCUUUUAGUCUUUACUCUUUUUCUAUCUUUUUGUAUUUUAUCUUUAUGCUGAAACUUUAACAAAGGUGCUUUAAAAAAAAAGAAAGAAAGCAGAGGAGGAUAUUAGAAUGAUGGAAAUGCCUGGGAAUAAAAAUAAAAUGGACUGGGAAUUAGAAAUAGGGUAGAGGAAGAGGUGUAAUUCACAUGCAGAGGGUGUAUUCUUAGAGGAAGGGUCUACUAUUGCUUUGCUAGGAACUCUAGGUGGGUGGAUAGUACUAACAAUAUAUAACCUUGGAAGAGAAAGCAGUGAAACCAAUAAAAUAUGACAUUAGUAGAA